AACGAACGCUGGCGGCAUGCCUAACACAUGCAAGUCGAACGAGACCUUCGGGUCUAGUGGCGCACGGGUGCGUAACGCGUGGGAAUCUGCCCCUUGGUUCGGAAUAACUUCGGGAAACUGAAGCUAAUACCGGAUAAUGACGUAAGUCCAAAGAUUUAUCGCCAAGGGAUGAGCCCGCGUAGGAUUAGCUAGUUGGUGGGGUAAAGGCUCACCAAGGCGACGAUCCUUAGCUGGUCUGAGAGGAUGAUCAGCCACACUGGGACUGAGACACGGCCCAGACUCCUACGGGAGGCAGCAGUGGGGGAAUAUUGGACAAUGGGCGAAAGCCUGAUCCAGCAAUGCCGCGUGAGUGAUGAAGGCCUUAGGGUUGUAAAGCUCUUUUACCCGGGAAGAUAAUGACUGUACCGGGAGAAUAAGCCCCGGCUAACUCCGUGCCAGCAGCCGCGGUAAU
rnacentral:rRNA from 1 species